rnacentral:rRNA from 1 species
GUAGGGAAUCUUCGGCAAUGGGGGCAACCCUGACCGAGCAACGCCGCGUGAGUGAAGAAGGUUUUCGGAUCGUAAAGCUCUGUUGUAAGAGAAGAACGUGUGUGAGAGUGGAAAGUUCACACAGUGACGGUAACUUACCAGAAAGGGACGGCUAACUACGUGCCAGCAGCCGCGGUAAUACGUAGGUCCCGAGCGUUGUCCGGAUUUAUUGGGCGUAAAGCGAGCGCAGGCGGUUUAAUAAGUCUGAAGUUAAAGGCAGUGGCUUAACCAUUGUUCGCUUUGGAAACUGUUAAACUUGAGUGCAGAAGGGGAGAGUGGAAUUCCAUGUGUAGCGGUGAAAUGCGUAGAUAUAUGGAGGAACACCGGUGGCGAAAGCGGCUCUCUGGUCUGUAACUGACGCUGAGGCUCGAAAGCGUGGGGAGCAAACAGGAUUAGAAACCCGUGUAGUCC